UGGUUGAUUCUGCCAGCUGUCCAUACGCUCCUUGAGCUCAAAGAUUAAGCCAUGCAAGUGGUUCUAACCCGACGGUUUGAAUAAGUGUUCAUAUUUAUAUUAUAUUUUUAAUAUAUUAUAUUUAUUUAUAUAUUAUAAUAUAAUAUUUAUAUAAAAAAUGUAAGAUCACUUACGCAACUGCAGACAGCUGCUUAAUACAGUCACACUUGUCUUGACUUUGCAUUUAUUAUAUAAAUUAUUUAUAUUUAUAUUUAUAUAGAUAUAAAUUUUUAUAUAAUAUAUUUAUAAUUUUAUAUAUAUAUAAAAUUAUAUAAAUAUUUCCCAAUAUUUAUAUCAAUAAUAAAAUUUAUAAAAUUUUUUUAUUGGAUAACUCAGGGAAAGUUUGGCUAAUACGUACGAGGUUUUUUUAAUUUUUAUUUAUAUUUAUAUAAUAAAAAUUAUUUCCUCAUUUGCACUUACUGGAGUAAUAUUUUUUAAAUACUACACUUAGCAACAUGAGAGACAGUAAGUACGCGUUUUACUUUAUUCUUUUGAAUAUUAGUAUUGCUGAGCAGACUUGCGAGGAAUUUACUUGCAAGCAUGUCAUACAAGCAUCUACAGCAUCAAGUCACAGGGUUGGCAAGUGUAUUAUUGAACCUUCAAAGCAGUCACGCAUUCGGAAGAGGAGUUUCUGAUCCCGUAGAAGGAGCAUCGUACGUUGAGAGACCGCUCUUAGUUCUAAGGAACGCAGCAGGCGCGUAAAUUGCCCAAUGCUAGUCCCCUUUAUUUAUGUUUUAUAUAUUUUAUAUAUAUAAAAUAUAAAGGUUGAUUAAACACUUAUUUAKAUCGAUCAAACCUGUAUUUUUUUUUUUAUACUUUUUUUAAUUUAUAUAUAUAAAUUUUAAAAAGCAUUUUAUAUNCCCUUGUACAACACUGACAAGAUGUGAAUUUUUUUAUUAAUUUAUAUUUAUAUAUAAAUUUUCACUGAGGCAGUGACAAGCUGUAACGGUUGGGUAUCUAAAAUCUGAAGGGUCGUAUUAAUCUGCUUUCGGCGGUAUUUUUACACUCUUAGUGUACUCAAUUGGAAUGCGGUGAGUCUAAGCAAUUCAGAACCUGUGGUAUUUCUUCGGAAAUAACUAUGUAUCUGAACUCAAGUGGAGGGCAAGUCUGGUGCCAGCAGCCGCGGUAAUACCAGCUCCACUGGCCUAUACAAUCAUUGUUGCGGUUAAGAGGCUCGUAGUUGGAUUGAACAACAACUUUUUUAUAUAUUUAAAAUUUAAUUUUAAAAAUAUUUAUAUUUAUAUAUAAUAUUUUAUAUUUNNUUUUUAAAUAUAUAUUUAAACAACACUGUGAACAAAUCAGCGUGUUUCAAACAUGUCGUAUCUUAUAGUGCAUUGAAUGUCUUAUCAUGGAAUGUUGCACUUUUAAGUAUACAAUUAUUAUAUAUNUNUAUAUUUNAUAAAUAUAUAUAUAAUAAUUUGANUUUNAUAUCACUUUGUCGAUGGGGAUAGUUGGAGUUAAGAGUACUGCUGGGCGAGAGGUGAAAUUCAUUGACCCUAGCAAGACUACCAAAAGCGAAAGCACUUAGCUAGGCUACCCUCUUUGUGAUUNCNUUUUUUUUUUAUAUUUAUAUAUAUAAUAUAUAUCCCCAUAUAUUUACUAUAAAAAAUAAAAAAACAUUUUACAAUGAAGAACGAAGGUUGGGGGAUCAAAGAGGAUCAGAUACCCUCGUCGUCCCAUUAUUCACAUCAAACGAUGGACACUCAAUUGCAUUCAUUUUAUAUGCUCUCAACCUACAAAUUUGGCUUGUAGCUAACUUUUUAGCUCGCCUUUUUGUUAGUUAGACAUAUCUUACUAAACGUGCAUAUUUUUUUUUAAAUUUAUGUACUUGAUUUUCUGAGCUUUCGGCUCAAAUGGUAAGAAGUAAGCAGUAAAUUUGCUAUAACAUUUCCUUGUGUAAUCUUCUGAUUCCAAGAUUUGAAAUAGUAGAUACUAUUUUGCUGUGAUGCUCGCUGUAGGCACGCGCUUACUGCAGAAAUGUCUGAGUUAUUCUCUCCGGGGUAGUAUGCACGCAAGUGUGAAACUUGAAGGAAUUGACGGAAGGCACCACAAGAACGCGUGGAGCAUGUGGCUUAAUUUGACUCAACGCGGGAAAUCUUACCAGGUCCGAACACGCUGAGGAUUGACAGGUUUUUAUAAGACUAUAUAUAAUUUUUUUUAAAAUUAUAUAUAGCAAUUCUUAUAUCAAAUAUGCUAGUCCUUUCAUGAUUGCGUGAUAGGUGGUGCAUGGCCGUUCUUAGUUCGUGGAGUGAUCUGUCUGCUUAACUGCGUUUCACUAUAAUGAGUAUAUAUUGAAUACUUUGUUUGCACAUAAAGUUGCUGCAUUGUUUUUUAACUUUGCACCUUUAUUGUUGCACGGUAUUCUUUUAAAUAUACUCUGAAGGCAACGAACGUGACCGCAACAUCUUGUUGCAUAAUCUUAUUUAUGCUAACUAGAUGGACCGCUGGAUCUUUUCUAAACAGAGGAAGAUUGCGGCAAUAACAGGUCUGUGAUGCCCUCAGAUGUUCUGGGCUGCACACGUGCUACAAUGAUUAUUGCAGUAAGCAUCUAUAUAGGAUUUUUAUAAUCCGCAGGAAUUUAAAUAAAUAUAUAAUUUUUUAUAUAUUUAUCCUGUUUAACCAACUUUGAAAGUAAGUUGGUAAUCAAUUCGAAGUAAUGAUUUCCUUUUGCACAAUAAUAAUAUUUUAUUCGAUUAAUCUUAGUCUUUUUAGAUUUUGUAUUAAAGUUAAAAUAUGUGCUCCUUUAUUUCAUGGUGGGGACUGACCAUUGUUAAUUGUUGGUCACGUCUCAACUAGGAAUGCCUUGUACUGGUCUUGGUUCAACAAACCACCAGGAAUAUGUCCCUGCCCUUUGUACACACCGCCCGUCGCUCUUACCGAUGGACUAUUCUGUGAGUAUACAGGACGGGAACUCUAUCUUCUGAUUGAGUUCUAUAAGAAUGUACGCGAACAGUGUGGUCUAAAGGAAAGAGAAGUCGUAACAAGGCAUCGGUAGGUGAACCU
rnacentral:rRNA from 1 species